AUGAAGUUUCACCAUGUUAGCCAGGCUGGUCUCGAACUCCUGACCUCAGCCACCAUGCCCAAGGAACAAAGUCAUUUCAAACCCAGGGAUCUUCCUGCCCCUCCCUUCCUUCUGAUGCCAAUUCACCAGGCUGGGGACACCCCCAAACAGGUCACACACCCUGCCCGUAUGCCAGGCCCUCACACCUUCCACCUGGCACCCACUCAGCCCCUCUCCCAGGCUGCCUCCUCCUCCACUAAUGUAUACCUGUUUUCUUCCUCAGAAUUAACCCUGCGAUGGGGCGGUGUUGCCCCUUAACCUCUCUUUUCUCUUCUCUGGGUCAUAGCCUCCUGGCUUCCAACUAACUCUGGGCCAGUGGGAGGUAGCUGAGUGAGGAGUGGGGCCAUUGGGACUGAACCGGACCGUGGGCGUGGGCGUGAGCAGCGGCCAGGACUCUCCUCCUUGUUCCUUUUGAGUGACCUGAAAGCAACAAACUCCUUGAUUGCAGAGGGGAUGGAAACAGAGAGGCAGGGCUGGGAUGUAGU